ensembl:lncRNA
UGCUGGGAGGCAUAGAAUAGCAAACAGCCUUUUAUUAAAUGCAAACGGGUAGAUCCACACCAGCCAGGGAAGAUGACACACGUUCACAACAUGUACGUUAAUAGACCCAACAAACACAGAGUGAACAGACUGGGGCUAAAUACACAGGAUAAUGAGAGAAUUGGGUGGAACACAGGUGAACAGAAUGACUAAUCAGAGUCACGGAGCACAUGGGAGGGAAAACACAACAAAGACAAUGAUAUUCAACAUGUUAAUGAGAUUGAUCAUAUGAGCAAAUCCCAGAGGAAAAAAGUCAAAUAAUUAUGAAUUUGUCUUUCUGCCCAGAGGUUCUCCUGAAGGUGGAAUCAACCCUUUUCAUAAGCACAGAUGUGUGUGUGUGUGUGUGUGUGUGUGUUCACACUGCCAUCAGCGAUCUGUCAUCACACAAUGAUUGCCAUUAUCACCGGUGAACAGAUUUCCACUGUUGGUUUGUUUGUGCUUGUGGACAUGUUUAUCCUUGCCACAUGUUUGUCUUCUUGUGUCAUAACCACUAGACAAUGAAUUUUCUAAGCCGCCUCUGGUGAUGUAUUCCAGAACAAAUCAGAGUUAGAGAGUUGUGAAGCGGAAGCUGGAAGCAGGCCGAUCCCGACACACUGCAGGUAGACGACCCGAGGAGGAAGAAAUGAGUGUGAUUGGUGUUACACUACAGAGCUACAACAUUUGUAUAUGUAUGAGCACAUUUAACAGGGCAGAGACGCACUAAUUGUUUAAAUGUCAAACAGCCAAUAAAGUGACUGACAGCCUGUCACUCCCUGUUUGUUUCAUGAUGUAGAGUGCGAUUAAAUAGGGGUUUUAUAGCAGUGACAUUUACAGAUGCGCUACUGUUUUUCUUUGUUUUUUCCCAUCUGACUGCCAUGAAGAGAGAUGCUCGCCAUCAUUUCUGCUCUCUACAAUUAAAACUGACAUUAACAACUCUCUGAAUGCUGACAUUUAAUCAGAUCCAUCAUUCUUUACAUACUGGAGAGGGGAGAUCUUUUCAUUUUGGGCCCGUGAUAAGGUUACCGAAUCCAAUUAGAAUGGAUGAAUUACUGGCCGCAUGGACUCUCACUUUGCCAGACAUACUGUAUUCAAAGCAUGACUAAGUAUAAUGAAAUUUCACAUGCUAAUAUUCAGGAUGCAGUAUAUAUUGUGUCCUGUUAUGAAUUUGGAUGUUUUUGAGGAGUGAUUUUAUCACUGAUGAUCUUCUUGUGGAGCAUCACAAACACCUUCACUUGGCUCAGCGUUAUUUCAUGUAAAACAAUCCUGCUGAAACAAAAUGUGACCAAAAAGUGCUAUUUUUCACUGGCACAACAGAAUACAACUUUCAUGAUCAUUUAUUCAUAUGGUUAAUCUAAUUUCCAUAAAAACAUUUCAUAUUAAACAUGAUCCGUAUUAUCUUGCAACACUUUACAACAGAUGUGUUUCCUUCACACUGUGAAUUUCUCCUGCUGUGUGAUUCUCUAGUUUUAAUGUUUAAUACUGUCUACUAAGUUUACCAUUGCUUUCUGCUGG